UGGGGAAUCUUCCGCAAUGGACGAAAGUCUGACGGAGCAACGCCGCGUGUAUGAUGAAGGUCUUCGGAUUGUAAAGUACUGUCAUUGGGGAAGAACGGUUUUCUUGAAAAGAUUGAGAAGACAUGACGGUACCCAAGGAGGAAGCCCCGGCUAACUACGUGCCAGCAGCCGCGGUAAUACGUAGGGGGCAAGCGUUGUCCGGAAUUAUUGGGCGUAAAGGGCGCGUAGGCAGGCCUUUAAGUCCGGUGUGAAAGAUCAGGGCUCAACCCUGAGAGUGCAUCGGAAACUGGAGGCCUUGAGGACAGGAGAGGAAAGUGGAAUUCCACGUGUAGCGGUGAAAUGCGUAGAUAUGUGGAGGAACACCAGUGGCGAAGGCGACUUUCUGGACUGUAACUGACGCUGAGGCGCGAAAGCGUGGGGAGCAAACAGGAUUAGAUACCCUGGUAGUCCACGCCGUAAACGAUGAGUGCUAGGUGUAGAGGGUAUCGACCCCUUCUGUGCCGCAGUUAACACAAUAAGCACUCCGCCUGGGGAGUACGGCCGCAAGGUUGAAACUCAAAUGAAUUGACGGGGUCAUAGCUGUUUCCUG
rnacentral:rRNA from 1 species